AUUGAACGCUGGCGGCAUGCCUUACACAUGCAAGUCGAACGGCAGCACGGGUGCUUGCACCUGGUGGCGAGUGGCGAACGGGUGAGUAAUAUAUCGGAACGUACCUUAUCGUGGGGGAUAACGCAGCGAAAGCUGCGCUAAUACCGCAUACGCCCUGAGGGGGAAAGCGGGGGGACCGUAAGGCCUCGCGCGAUUAGAGCGGCCGAUAUCUGAUUAGCUUGUUGGUAAGGUAAGAGCUUACCAAGGCGACGAUCAGUAUCUGGUUUGAGAGGACGAUCAGACACACUGGAACUGAGACACGGUCCAGACUCCUACGGGAGGCAGCAGUGGGGAAUUUUCCGCAAUGGGCGAAAGCCUGACGGAGCAAUACCGCGUGAGGGAAGAAUGCCUAUGGGUUGUAAACCUCUUUUUCAGGGUAGGAAUAAAAUGACGUGUACCUGAAGAAUAAGCAUCGGCUAACUCCGUG
rnacentral:rRNA from 1 species